rnacentral:rRNA from 1 species
GCAGCCGCGGUAAUUCCAGCUCCAAUAGCGUAUAUUAAAGUUGUUGCAGUUAAAAAGCUCGUAGUUGAAUUUCGGGAUCAGCAGGUUGGUCGUGCCACUGGUAUGAACUGGCUUCGCUGGUUCCUCCUUUCUGAAGAACUGUAAUGCCAUUAAUUUGGUGUUGCAGGGAAACAGGACUGUUACUUUGAAAAAAUUAGAGUGUUUAAAGCAAGCUAACGCUUGAAUACAUUAGCAUGGAAUAAUGAAAUAGGACGUUCGAUCCUAUUUUGUUGGUUUCUAGGAUUGACGUAAUGAUUAAUAGGGAUAGUUGGG